UUUGGCCUCCUGCAGUGCCACACUCUGUGUAUUUGACAGGCUGAGUGGAACACUCAGUUUAAUAGAGUGUCAGUUUGUCAAAUACCCCAAGUGCGGCAUAUGCUGAACAA
rnacentral:pre_miRNA from 13 species